rnacentral:rRNA from 1 species
GACGAACGCUGGCGGCGUGCUUAACACAUGCAAGUCGAACGGAAAGGCCCUGCCUUUGUGGGGUGCUCGAGUGGCGAACGGGUGAGUAACACGUGAGUAACCUGCCCUUGACUUUGGGAUAACUUCAGGAAACUGGGGCUAAUACCGGAUAGGAGCUCCUGCUGCAUGGUGGGGGUUGGAAAGUUUCGGCGGUUGGGGAUGGACUCGCGGCUUAUCAGCUUGUUGGUGGGGUAGUGGCUUACCAAGGCUUUGACGGGUAGCCGGCCUGAGAGGGUGACCGGCCACAUUGGGACUGAGAUACGGCCCAGACUCCUACGGGAGGCAGCAGUGGGGAAUAUUGCACAAUGGGCGGAAGCCUGAUGCAGCGACGCCGCGUGCGGGAUGACGGCCUUCGGGUUGUAAACCGCUUUCGCCUGUGACGAAGCGUGAGUGACGGUAAUGGGUAAAGAAGCACCGGCUAACUACGUG